rnacentral:ribozyme from 1 species
CCCGUGAUUGAGGAUGAUUCGUUCAUCCCGUUCGAUGAGGUUGUUGGUCGAGAAGGGGCGAGUGAGACUGAACCGCUUGUUUCUCAGCGACGUCAGGCAAGGUACUCGGAAAAAGAUGAUGAAAGUGAAGAUGAAGAAAGAGAGGAACUUCCUUUUGUUCCUCCCGCUGGUAAUUUUGAGACAGCUGAUGAAU